UGCAUUUAUAGAAUUCAUCAUACAUACAUGGCUAGAAUUGAUUCUUGACUAAUGCAUUUAUGUUGGAACUGAUCAGAGGGAACUGAUCAGAGGGAAAAGACUAGUUUUUGUGGGCGAUUCAAUCAAUAGGAAUCAAUGGGAAUCCAUGCUGUGCAUGUUAAUGGGAGCUAUCAAAGAUCCAAAUAGGGUCUAUGAGACGCAUAGGCGCAGAAUCACCAAAGAGAAGGGGGAUUACAGUUUCAAAUUUGUGGAUUACAAGUGUACAGUUGAAUAUUAUGUGUCCCAUUUCUUGGUUCAUGAAGGCAAGGCAAGAGUAGGGCAGAAGCGGGUGCAAACUUUGCGAAUUGAUUCCAUUGAUCACGGCUCAUCUAUAUGGAGAGGAGCUGAUACAAAACUAAAGCUGGGCCAGUUCCAUUACUGAAUUAUUACUCUUUUUGAAGUCUGAUGAUGUGUUAAAACUAAAAAGUGACAUGCUCACAGAAUACAAGGGAUACAUCUCAUAUAAGUAGAUAUUUCUUGAAUUGGAACCCUGAUUUGGAGCUUAUAACAGGAUUAAUUACUAUCAGGAAGGAGGCUAAAAAGUGACAUGCUGAGAUUGAAUGACUGAAUAACCUAUUCAGCCCUUUCUUAUUUAACCUCAUGUGAGCCACACGUAAUUGAGGAAAGGAAAAAAAUCCAGAUUCACAUGAUGCGUGAGUCACACUGGCGUCGUCUCCUCCACUUUUCUGAUAAAUGAAUAGGCUUGACCUCAACCACCGCUGACUGCUGAUAGCAACCAUGUGCCUGCAACGAAAUCGAUGGCGAAUUUAAGCCCUAGGUUCUUGUUCAGCAACGGUGUCGUUUCACAGCCUGCCAACACACCGAUAACAAGCUUCCUCCCAACGCACCCAGUGGGUUCAAGGCGAAAAUUUAUAGGUUUGUUCAAUACUUGAACCUUUUUGGAGUUGCUAUUGGCCAUGGGUAAGUUUGAGUGUUUAAACCUGGGUAAGAACUUGGUGAUGGUGUUUGCUUAUAUGUAAUUCAGUGAUAUAAAUUAUGCUUUUGGCUAAUGGGGUUUUUCUUCUUCUUUUCUUUUGGAUGUUGAUUGUGAUUAAAUAGGGAAAUAAAGAGGUCUAACUGUUUCUACAAGAAUGGUGUGACACAACACCAUGCCAUGUAAACAGCAACCCUUAUAUGAUGGCUUUUGGCGUAGCAAAUUAUCUUCUCUAAAAUUCCAAACGUACAAAACUGGAAGUAUCAAGGGAACUAUGACUUGGAUAUGCAUUGGAAUUGUGACACAAAUCCAAAAAUAUUUGGAGGAGCUCUCAAGCACUUGGUGACAAAGCUUUUGCCUACUCUUGCUCUUUGAAUCUCAGAGUUGGUGCUUUCUUAGCUAUAGGAUAUGAAUACCGUUAUUAACAUUUCUAUAACAUUUCUUAUGUGCAAUUGCAUACAAUGUUUGUGAAAUUGCAUACAUUUUAUGCAAUUUUUGACCCAUGUAUACAA